UGGGGAAUAUUGCGCAAUGGGGGAAACCCUGACGCAGCAACGCCGCGUGAAGGAUGAAGGUUUUCGGAUCGUAAACUUCUUUGAUGAGGGACGAACAAAAUGACGGUACCUCAAAAACAAGCCACGGCUAACUACGUGCCAGCAGCCGCGGUAAUACGUAGGUGGCGAGCGUUGUCCGGAAUUACUGGGUGUAAAGGGCGUGUAGGCGGGGAUGUAAGUCAGAUGUUAAAUUCCAUGGCUCAACUGUGGGGCUGCAUCUGAAACUAUGUCUCUUGAGUGUCGGAGAGGGAAGCGGAAUUCCUAUUGUAGCGGUGAAAUGCGUAGAUAUUAGGAGGAACACCAGUGGCGAAGGCGGCUUUCUGGACGGUAACUGACGCUGAGGCGCAAAAGCGUGGGG
rnacentral:rRNA from 1 species